AAAAUUGUGCUUCCUAAGACACUUUUCACCAAUGCAAGUUUUUCUUGCUUCUACUGAAAUCCUGAUAUCUUGUUUGAGACCUCUCAAAAGCUAAAACAAACAAAUUAGAAGGACCUUGUUGAAACAUUUUGUGUUAUUUUGAUGUAGAGUAUCUCGGUUAAUAGUUUUCAAAAUAUUACGGGUAACCAAUCCCAACUAUGCUAUUGGAUGAUUUUUUGAAGCUGUGUUGCAACAAUUCACAGGUCAAUCCUUGAGCCUUUCAAGCUACAAUGUUAGUUCUGUGGUUUAGAAUUCUUCUUUGGAUUAUUCAUUCAUUCGUGAUGUUAAGAAGCAGUGGGGUAGUGGUAUGAAUUGUAUGGCCUAGAAAUUUCAAUUACCUCAAAAUUUAUUUCAAUGUAUAUGAUGAAUUUGUCAAUAUGCCUUUUGAAUUGAAAUAGUUGUAUGGCAUAGAAG
rnacentral:lncRNA from 1 species